rnacentral:rRNA from 1 species
CCGGCACGGGUGAGUAACACGUAUCCAACCUGCCGUCUACUCUUGGCCAGCCUUCUGAAAGGAAGAUUAAUCCAGGAUGGCAUCAUGAGUUCACAUGUCCGCAUGAUUAAAGGUAUUUUCCGGUAGACGAUGGGGAUGCGUUCCAUUAGAUAGUAGGCGGGGUAACGGCCCACCUAGUCAACGAUGGAUAGGGGUUCUGAGAGGAAGGUCCCCCACAUUGGAACUGAGACACGGCCCAA